GUGCCCGCUUCGGCAGCACAUAUACUAAAAUUGGAAUGGUACAGAGAAGGUUGGCAUGGCCCCUGCACAAGGAUGACAUGCAAAUUCGUGAAGCGUUCCAUGUUUUU
rnacentral:snRNA from 1 species